rnacentral:lncRNA from 1 species
AGAACCCCGUGUCAGACUGAUGCCUUUCGUGGUGCCCACAGAAGCCAGCUUAUUGGGUGGUAAGCCCCAGCGUUGGAGAGCCUGUAUGUGACACAAGCAUAUGAGACCAGCAGUGGAGCCCUCCUGUGCUGCCCCGGGGGUCCACUCCCUGGGUAAGUCAAGGCAAAUGGAUGGAACUAGAAGAAACCAUUCUGAGUGAAGUAACCCAGUCACAAAAAGACAAACAGGACCAGAGUCCUCAUCCAGUGGCUGAUGGAAGCAGAGACAGACAUCCACAGAAAUACACUGAGCUGAAAUCUGGAACCUAGUUGAAGAGAGGGAGGAAUGAAGAACGAAGGGGUCUGUACCAGGUUGGAGAAACCCACAGAAACAGUUGGCCUGAAAAAGGGAAAGCAUAUCGACCCCAGACGCUCUUUGGGAGGCCAGUACAGGACUGAUCCAGCCCCCUGAUCAUGGAUGCCAAUGGGGAGGCCCCUGCACUCCUUGGAGCCUCCAGAGGUGGACUGGCGUUUUGCCCUGGUGUGUGUGUGGGACUUUGAGAGCCCAUCCCACUUGAAUGGAUGCACUCUGUCUCUGGACACAUGGGGAGGGGCCUAGGCCCAGCACAGGAAGAUUUGGUGGACUUGGUGGAGUCCCGGUUGGGGGCCCUACCCUGCCUGGGGAG